CAUGCAUUUGUAUGUGAGUGCCAGUGCGGGUCAUCGCAGCUUGCACCCAUUUCCAGUCUUCAUCUAACACACGGAAGAAAAAACACUGAUUUGACAACCACCCAUAGAUGAGAGUACUUUUUGGGAGGCCAGGAGUCCAGUGGUAAGGUCCCAGCAUACCACUGGAGCAAAACAUCUGAGAAUACACACGUUUAAGAAGGUCUUCAGAUUGAGAGGAGCAGAACAUGAGGUACUGAACUCAAGAGGUCUCACCUGCACUUGGACCUGAUUUACAUGACAAGUUUCUGGCCUGAUUCAGUAACAUGAUACAAUCUUAUGUGGGGUAUUUGGAGGUGGAACAUGUAUUUUUCAUGGGGAAGAAUGUAAAUAAUCCAUGGAAUAAAAAUUGUGACAUUUUAAAA